AAAAUGACUCUCAGCAACGGAUAUCUUGGCUCUUGCAACGAUGAAGAACGCAGCGAAAUGCGAUACCUAGUGUGAAUUGCAGAAUUCCGCGAAUCAUCGAGU
rnacentral:rRNA from 1 species